ensembl:lncRNA
AAAACAUUUAUGUUCAGGUACUCAUGGAAUGCUACUGGUUGUCCAUUGUGACAUGACUCGAGUACUCCAUUUCUCUUAUGGCAUUGCAAAGCUACCAGCCAUUUUUUGAUUCUCAGCUUCAUUUAAAAUUUGAGGGAAACAUGUCCAUCUUGUCAUCACUCUCUGAUAAUCACUGCUUUUCUCAGGACAGCUGAUUUUAACAUUGCUCCAUGCUAAAGUUAAUUUUCUUGAUCUAUCAGAUACAUUAAUCAUGGGUGGAUGUACAGAAGAAAAGCACUCGUGGACUUCUAAAUGCACUGCCUCAGUAAGAAGCAUUCAAAUUACAAAAAGUCACGUUUUAACUAUUUUGUUUACGAAUUAAAUGCAGAUUUUAUUUUUACCUACUUUGCUACUUUGCAAGCCUUUUGGUGUGAACUUAAACAAACAUGAAAAUAAUGUUCUUUACAGUAUGUUAAAAGUGCUUAUAUGUUAAAAGUGCUCACCACAAAGCAGACACUUCUUUGUUGGGCAACCAGCACAGCUUUUUCAUGUUCUCUUUGUGUCCUCACCCGCCCCAACCUAUUUAGGUCAAUACAAGCAACUUCAGAGGAAGUCACUGCCUGGUUAUAAGGCUACAGCUUUGGACUGCAGAGGACAGACUGUGCGAGGAAAACAAGAACACUCUGGGCCAUCAGCAAGCAGAGGAUAGCUCUUAAAUAUCACAUGGGAUAUCCACCCGAUGGAGCUUGGUGCCUUUACUCUGGAGAUUGGAGCAGAUCCCUGAAGUCAGCCCUUUUGGCAAAGGGACACUGCUGUGUGCAGAGACCUGCCUGAGGCAGGGACCUGGCUGCACUGCACCACGGGCACAAGAUUCAGCCACGCUUCAUUCCCCACAGUGAACCUCGGGCUCGGCUGCAAACCUUCCCAGAGCAUGGAGGGGUGAUUGAAGAGGAUCAGACAGUCAACACAUUGCCCAUGAAGCACAGCCAGGUAGCUGAGGUGAGGGGAGCAGGACUCCAGCCACGCUGAAGCAGGUGCAGUGGGAGCAGGAGGCUGAGGCUGGGGGAAAAAUUAGCAGGAGGAGAUCCGAGAAGAUAAGCGAGGAGCAAGCAGCUUCCCCGAGACCUUUCACUGCGGAUCCGAGAGGGAACAUCAGACGCGUAAAAAAAGAAAAACAAAAAACAAAAACAAAAACCAAAAAGCCAAACAAAACAAAAAAAACCCCAAACAAAACAAAACACAGCGUUCAAGCCAGCACAAGGCGAGCGAAAGAUCAAAAAGACGCAGAGGGAGACAGAUUAACUGGAGCAGCAGCAGCAGCAACAACAACAAAAAUCACACUUAAAAUAAUAAUAACAAUAAUAAUAAUAAAACCCAAACCACCAACAAGGGAGAUAUUGUUUAAAAGAGCAAGCGAGGGAGCGAGCCGAAGAGCUGGUCUGACCGAGUGGAUCCGUGCAGCUUCUCCUGGGAUCGCCGGGAUCGCGCCGCUUCUCCGCUCCGCGUCGCGCAGCGUGCGGUGCCCUGCCCGCGGCGGGGGUCCCCGGGCGCCGCCACCGCAUCCGCGCCGGACUCCGGACCCUCCGCGCUGCUUUGAAAAGAAAAGCAUCUCGCUAAUAAUAAGCGGGACGGUGGGGGAAGAAGACUCGCAACGGUGGAGCUGCCAGCCGCGCACCCUCUGCCCGCCGCCCCCGGCUCCCUCCCCAGCUAUGCUCCGGGUCAACUUUGAUGGCACGUUGAGAAGCAGCGGGCGCUGAAGAGGGACAACCGAGCGGCGCGGAGCCGACCUGCUCAGAGACCUGCACCCACGGAUUGUCUUGCGGGGGCGGAGUGGGCGGGGGGGUACAAGUGGCAUUUCUCCCCCCCCCUCCUUCCAGGCUAUAAAUUGGAUUGUAUAUAAAUCUGCUUCGUUUAUCUCCCUGACCCCCCUCAAUGACGCUGGACUAGAGAGCUCCUCUCCGCGGCCCGCCCGGACCUGCCGAAGCGAGCGAUGGACCACGAGCGACUGCGCCCGGGGAUGCCCCUCUGAAGCGACGCGGGGCACCGGGGCAGAGCGGCGCCGCCUCUCCCCUGCUCCCCGGAUCCCCUCGCACCUCCGGCUCGCUCCCCGCUCCCCCUCCCUCCUCCCCGGGCUCCGCAGCCACCCCCUCACCUGCUGCCGUCCCCCUCCCCCGUGGAGCCGGGCUCUCUCCGUGCACGCCAAGCCUGUUCCCCCCCCGCCGCCAACUUCGCCCUCGGUGCCUGCGCGUGCAGCCUCCCCCUCCGCCUCCCCGGCGGCACACGCCGCUUCCCCGGGCGCCCCCUCCCUCCGCCGCGGCUCCCCCCCUGCGCGGAGCGGUUGCGGCCCCCCAGCUUGGCUGCCACCGCCC